rnacentral:rRNA from 1 species
GGUUAAGCGACUAAGCGUACACGGUGGAUGCCCUGGCAGUCAGAGGCGAUGAAGGGCGUGCUAAUCUGCGAUAAGCGCCGGUAAGGUGAUAUGAACCGUUAUAACCGGCGAUACCCGAAUGGGGAAACCCAGUGUGACUCGUCACACUAUCAUUAACUGAAUCCAUAGGUUAAUGAGGCGAACCGGGGGAACUGAAACAUCUAAGUACCCCGAGGAAAAGAAAUCAACCGAGAUUCCCCCAGUAGCGGCGAGCGAACGGGGAGGAGCCCAGAGCCUGAAUCAGCAUGUGUGUUAGUGGAAGCGUCUGGAAAGGCGCGCGAUACAGGGUGACAGCCCCGUACACAAAAGCGUAUGUGCUGUGAGCUCGAUGAGUAGGGCGGGACACGUGGUAUCCUGUCUGAAUAUGGGGGGACCAUCCUCCAAGGCUAAAUACUCCUGACUGACCGAUAGUGAACCAGUACCGUGAGGGAAAGGCGAAAAGAACCCCGGCGAGGGGAGUGAAAAAGAACCUGAAACCGUGUACGUACAAGCAGUGGGAGCACCCUUUGG